ACGGGCUGAUAUUAAGAGAAAUAAUUAAACAACUAAUAUUAUCCCCUCUCCGUCUCUACUGUCUCUCUCUGUCUCUCUGUCUCUCUCUCUCUCUCUCUAGUCAGAGAGUAGAGUCGCAGCGGUUGGUUCUUGUGCUGCUUUUCCCGCGGAAAUGGAGUCACUAACGUACUCCUCGUCCUUCCUGUGCACUACUAAUCCACUGCUCUCUUCCCACUGUUCCCAAUCCAAUACCACCGCCUUAAAAUCCUUAACCUCGACCUCGACGAAACCUAAAACGACCACCAAUGUCAAUAUGAAUAUCAUAGUAAAGCCGUCCUCCUCCUCAGUGAGACCAGACCCCUGGUCUCUCAGCGACGGUAACCACCCGGACCGCCCGAAACCCAAGUCCAAGAACCCCAAGAAGCCCCUCUCCGACGACAACGCCCGCCGCAUCAUCAAGGCCAAGGCCAACUACCUCAGCGCCCUCCGCAGGAACCAGGGCCCACAAGCCCACACCCCCAAAUGGAUUAAGAGGACCCCCGAGCAGAUGGUCAGCUACUUGCAGGACGACAGGAACGGCCAUCUCUACGGUCGCCACGUGGUGGCCGCCAUCAAGCACGUCAGGGCGCUGUCCGAGAAGGCCGAGGGACAGUACGACAUGCGCACCGUCAUGGCCUCCUUUGUUGGGAAGCUCAGCUUUAGAGAAAUGUGUGUGGUGCUCAAGGAGCAAAAGGGCUGGAGGCAAGUCAGGGACUUAUUUUCUUGGAUGAAAUUGCAGUUAAGCUACCGCCCAAGUGUUAUUGUCUACACAAUCGUUUUGCGUGUAUAUGGCCAAGUUGGGAAGAUCAAGCUGGCUGAGCAAACCUUCUUGGAGAUGCUUGAAUCUGGAUGUGAACCUGAUGAAGUUGCUUGUGGCACCAUGCUCUGUACAUAUGCCAGAUGGGGACGUCACAAGGCUAUGCUGGCGUUUUAUUCAGCGGUGCAGGAAAGGGAGAUUCUGCUUUCUGUUGCUGUUUAUAAUUUCAUGUUGUCCUCCUUGCAGAAGAAAUCACUCCACGGAAAGGUCAUAGAAAUUUGGAGGCAGAUGGUGGACAUAGGAGUGGUACCUAAUAAAUUUACUUAUACAGUAGUAAUUUGCUCACUCGUCAAAGAAGGCCUCCAUGAUGAGGCUCUCAAGAAUUUCAUUGAGUUGAAGAAUGCUGGAUUUGUUCCUGAGGAGGCAACUUAUAGUUUGCUCAUCAGUUUAAGCACCAAAAGUGGCAAAUAUAACGAAGCACUAAGACUAUAUGAAGACAUGAGCUCUCUAGGAAUAGUCCCGAGCAACUACACCUGUGCUUCACUUCUGACAUUGUAUUACAAGACAGAGGAUUAUUCCAAAGCCCUUUCUCUUUUUUCAGAAAUGGAAAGGAAGAAAAUUGCAGCUGAUGAGGUCAUCUAUGGUUUGCUCAUUAGAAUAUAUGGAAAACUUGGUCUUUAUGAGGACGCUCAGACAGCAUUUACCGAGAUGGAGCAGCUGGGUCUACUUAGUGAUCAGAAAACAUAUUUAGCAAUGACACAAGUCCAUCUCAAUUCAGGGAAUUGCGAGAAAGCUUUAGAAGUUAUUGAACUAAUGAAGUCUAGAAAAAACAUUUGGCUCUCAAGAUUUGCUUAUAUUGUCUUAUUGCAGUGUUAUGUUAUGAAGGAAGAUCUGAGUUCUGCUGAAGUAACAUUUCAGGCUCUAUCCAAGACUGGACUCCCUGAUGCAGGCUCUUGUAAUGAUAUGCUCAAUUUGUAUAUAAGACUGGACUUAAUCGAAAAGGCUAAGGAUUUUAUUGCCCAGAUAAGAAGAGACCGGGUAGAUUUGGACGAGGAGCUUUGCAGGACAGUUAUGAGAGUAUAUUGCAAGGAGGGAAUGCUUAGAGAUGCUGAAAAGUUUGUAGGAGAGCUGGGUGCAAAUGGAUUAUACCAGGAUAGUAGAUUCAUCCAGACAAUUUCUUGGGCUAUGUGUGAACAUAAGGAAGGGAAAUUUGUGACCUUUGACCAGCAUGACACUGUGGCCCUUGGACUGGUGCUCAGUCUCUAUCUGGCAGAUGGCAAUAUCAGUGAGACAGAAAAAGUUCUAGCAUCAUUACUUGAGGCUUCUAGUGGCUUAUCAAUUGCGAGUCAGCUCAUUAAGAACUUUAUUAGAGAAGGUGAUGCAUUUAAAGCAGAAACUCAUAUCAAUCAUUUGGUCAAGCUUGGCUGCAGAGUGGAUGAUGCCACAAUUGGUUCUUUGAUUAGUUUAUAUGGAAAGAAACACAACCUGAAAAAGGCCUUGGAAAUAUUUACAGCAUUUGCAGAUUCUCCUUUGGCUAAAAAGUUACUGUGCAACUCAAUGCUUGAUGCAUAUGCCAAAUGUGGUAAACCACAGGAGGCAUACUCACUUUACAAACAACUUUCAGAGGAAGGGCAUGAUCUGGAUGCUGUUGCCAUCAGCAUAGUUGUCAAUGUUUUGACUAACAGUGGAGAACAUAGAGAAGCAGAGAAUGUCAUCCGCAAAAGCCUGGAACACCACGUGGAGCUAGAUACCGUGGCAUACAAUACUUUCAUUAAGGCUAUGCUGGAAGCAGGUAGAUUGCGUUUUGCAUCCAGUAUCUAUGAGUGCAUGCUUUCUGAGGGGGUUGUUCCAUCGAUUCAGACAUACAGCACCAUGAUCAGUGUUUACGGUCGAGGUCGAAAGCUGGAAAGGGCUGUAGAGAUGUUCAAUACUGCUCGCAGCUUGGGUUUGUCUCUGGAUGAGAAGGCAUAUAUGAAUCUCAUUAGUUACUGUGGGAAAGCUGGAAAAAGGCAGGAAGCAUCCAUGCUAUUUACCAAAAUGAGGGAACAAGGGAUAAAACCUGGGAUGGUCAGUUAUAAUAUAAUGAUCAAUGUAUAUGCUGCUGGGGGGCUUUAUAAGGAAGCAGAGGAAUUAUUCAAAGCCAUGCAGCAAGAUGGUUGCUCACCUGACUCCUUCACCUACCUAUCCCUAGUUCGAGCGUACACAGAGAGUCUGAAAUACACAGAAGCAGAGGAAACCAUUAAUUCUAUGCCGGAAAAUGGUGUCUAUCGUUCCUGUGCUCAUUUUAACCUUUUACUCUCUGUUUUUUCCAAAAUGGGAUUGAUAGGGGAAGCGGAAAGAAUUUAUGAGAAACUACUUGGAGCUGGUUUAAACCCUGACAUGGCAUGUUAUCAGACUAUGCUGAGAGGUUACAUGGACUAUGGACAUGUGGAAGAAGGCAUCAAGUUUUUUGAACAGAUAAGUGAGUCUGUAGAGGCAGACAGGUUUAUUUUGAGCGCAGCGGUGCAUUUUUAUAAAUCUGUGGGAAAGGGACUAGAAGCUGAAAAUGUUUUGCAUUCCAUGAGUAAUUUGGGUAUUUCAUUUCUGGAGAACCUAGAAGUUGGAUCCAAGCUAAAAGCUAAAAGCCCCAUUUCAGAACCGAUUUAGUUAUGGGAUGUUAUGUACUGCAUACUGAUGACAGAGGGAUAGGGUGAUCCCUAGUAAUUGUAUUGCCAGUGACGAACAUAUCUCGGGUGUACCAAUAAUUGAAUUUGUGAGGGAUGCUGAAUACACAUCUUCAAGACCAAUGAUCAACAAACAUUACGAGGUUGCAUACUGGCAUAACAGGAUGGUGGGUCGAGACUUGUUGCAGUCUUCCGUUGAUUGAGUGGGAAAAAGCUCGUCGGCUGAUUUUUGACUUGAAAUUAGUGACUGAACAAAUCUGUCGAACAUGAAAUGCUUAUGCUCAAUGGUUAGAGGCUCGGUGGGUCAUAGUCUGACACAUGGAGACUGUUUCUGCUGGCUUGAAUCAUGGUCAAUGGAUAUGAAAGUCUAACAUUAGUUGAGCAACAUUACUUGGCAUCCUUAAUAUAUGGAGGCUGUACAAAAGUUCAUGUUCAUUAGGACAUUUCACCUUGUGGUUAUCUUGACAAACCAUAAUUAUUCAAGAUGUUGUAGCAGCUUGGUCAAUUAGGGAACAUGUACAGCAUUCUUUUCUUUGGAUGUUGAAUAAACAAUAAUUUUAUUGUACAUGGUUAUAGGAAGUUGUAGAUGGUUUUCUUUCA